GUGUAGUUAGCUUAAAGGUAAAGCACUGGAUUGUGGCUCCAGAGGAUAGGGUUCAACUCCCUGCUACACCC
rnacentral:tRNA from 1 species